GAGGAAUAUUGCGCAAUGGGGGAAACCCUGACGCAGCGACGCCGCGUGGAUGAUGAAGGCCUUCGGGUCGUAAAAUCCUGUCAGAUGGAAAGAAUGGUUUAUAGGUUAAUACCCUGUAGAUUUGACGGUACCAUCAAAGGAAGCACCGGCUAACUCCGUGCCAGCAGCCGCGGUAAUACGGAGGGUGCAAGCGUUGUUCGGAAUUACUGGGCGUAAAGCGCGCGCAGGUGGUUUGCUCAGUCAGAUGUGAAAGCCCACGGCUUAACCGUGGACGUGCAUUUGAUACUGGCAGACUUGAGUACUGGAGGGGGUAGUGGAAUUCCCGGUGUAGAGGUGAAAUUCGUAGAUAUCGGGAGGAAUACCGGUGGCGAAGGCGACUACCUGGCCAGAUACUGACACUGAGGCGCGAAAGCGUGGGGAGCAAAC
rnacentral:rRNA from 1 species